rnacentral:rRNA from 1 species
ACGAACGCUGGCGGCGUGCCUAAUACAUGCAAGUAGAACGCUGAAGAGAGGAGCUUGCUCUUCUUGGAUGAGUUGCGAACGGGUGAGUAACGCGUAGGUAACCUGCCUUGUAGCGGGGGAUAACUAUUGGAAACGAUAGCUAAUACCGCAUAACAAUGGAUGACACAUGUCAUUUAUUUGAAAGGGGCAAUUGUUCCACUACAAGAUGGACCUGCGUUGUAUUAGCUAGUAGGUGAGGUAAUGGCUCACCUAGGCGACGAUACAUAGCCGACCUGAGAGGGUGAUCGGCCACACUGGGACUGAGACACGGCCCAGACUCCUACGGGAGGCAGCAGUAGGGAAUCUUCGGCAAUGGGGGCAACCCUGACCGAGCAACGCCGCGUGAGUGAAGAAGGUUUUCGGAUCGUAAAGCUCUGUUGUAAGUCAAGAACGGGUGUGAGAGUGGAAAGUUCACACUGUGACGGUAGCUUACCAGAAAGGGACGGCUAACUACGUGCCAGCAGCCGCGGUAAUACGUAGGUCCCGAGCGUUGUCCGGAUUUAUUGGGCGUAAAGCGAGCGCAGGCGGUUUGAUAAGUCUGAAGUUAAAGGCUGUGGCUCAACCAUAGUUCGCUUUGGAAACUGUCAAACUUGAGUGCAGAAGGGGAGAGUGGAAUUCCAUGUGUAGCGGUGAAAUGCGUAGAUAUAUGGAGGAACACCGGUGGCGAAAGCGGCUCUCUGGUCUGUAACUGACGCUGAGGCUCGAAAGCGUGGGGAGCGAACAGGAUUAGAUACCCUGGUAGUCCACGCCGUAAACGAUGAGUGCUAGGUGUUGGAUCCUUUCCGGGAUUCAGUGCCGCAGCUAACGCAUUAAGCACUCCGCCUGGGGAGUACGACCGCAAGGUUGAAACUCAAAGGAAUUGACGGGGGCCCGCACAAGCGGUGGAGCAUGUGGUUUAAUUCGAAGCAACGCGAAGAACCUUACCAGGUCUUGACAUCCUUUGACCACUCUAGAGAUAGAGCUUCCCCUUCGGGGGCAAAGUGACAGGUGGUGCAUGGUUGUCGUCAGCUCGUGUCGUGAGAUGUUGGGUUAAGUCCCGCAACGAGCGCAACCCCUAUUGUUAGUUGCCAUCAUUCAGUUGGGCACUCUAGCGAGACUGCCGGUAAUAAACCGGAGGAAGGUGGGGAUGACGUCAAAUCAUCAUGCCCCUUAUGACCUGGGCUACACACGUGCUACAAUGGUUGGUACAACGAGUUGCGAGUCGGUGACGGCGAGCUAAUCUCUUAAAGCCAAUCUCAGUUCGGAUUGUAGGCUGCAACUCGCCUACAUGAAGUCGGAAUCGCUAGUAAUCGCGGAUCAGCACGCCGCGGUGAAUACGUUCCCGGGCCUUGUACACACCGCCCGUCACACCAUGGGAGCCGGUAAUACCCGAAGUCAGUAGUCUAACCGCAAGGAGGACGCUGCCGAAGGUAGGAUUGGCGACUGGGGUG